GGUUAAGCGACUAAGCGUACACGGUGGAUGCCCUGGCAGUCAGAGGCGAUGAAGGGCGUGCUAAUCUGCGAUAAGCGCCGGUAAGGUGAUAUGAACCGUUAUAACCGGCGAUACCCGAAUGGGGAAACCCAGUGUGAUUCGUCACACUAUCAUUAACUGAAUCCAUAGGUUAAUGAGGCGAACCGGGGGAACUGAAACAUCUAAGUACCCCGAGGAAAAGAAAUCAACCGAGAUUCCCCCAGUAGCGGCGAGCGAACGGGGAGGAGCCCAGAGCCUGAAUCAGCAUGUGUGUUAGUGGAAGCGUCUGGAAAGGCGCGCGAUACAGGGUGACAGCCCCGUACACAAAAGCGCAUGUGCUGUGAGCUCGAUGAGUAGGGCGGGACACGUGGUAUCCUGUCUGAAUAUGGGGGGACCAUCCUCCAAGGCUAAAUACUCCUGACUGACCGAUAGUGAACCAGUACCGUGAGGGAAAGGCGAAAAGAACCCCGGCGAGGGGAGUGAAAAAGAACCUGAAACCGUGUACGUACAAGCAGUGGGAGCCCCACCACUAAGCCAGUGGUGAACUCCACAUCCGCAUCCUUUGCUGAGGAUACGGUUAACGGAGCGAAAGCGACGUUCAACCGCAAAACAAGCAGAGGGGGCUUAGUGGUGGGGUGACUGCGUACCUUUUGUAUAAUGGGUCAGCGACUUAUAUUCUGUAGCAAGGUUAACCGAAUAGGGGAGCCGGAGGGAAACCGAGUCUUAAUUGGGCGUUAAGUUGCAGGGUAUAGACCCGAAACCCGGUGAUCUAGCCAUGGGCAGGUUGAAGGUUGGGUAACACUAACUGGAGGACCGAACCGACUAAUGUUGAAAAAUUAGCGGAUGACCUGUGGCUGGGGGUGAAAGGCCAAUCAAACCGGGAGAUAGCUGGUUCUCCCCGAAAGCUAUUUAGGUAGCGCCUCGUGAAUUCAUCUCCGGGGGUAGAGCACUGUUUCGGCUAGGGGGCCAUCCCGGCUUACCAACCCGAUGCAAACUGCGAAUACCGGAGAAUGUUAUCACGGGAGACACACGGCGGGUGCUAACGUCCGUCGUGAAGAGGGAAACAACCCAGACCGCCAGCUAAGGUCCCAAAGUCAUGGUUAAGUGGGAAACGAUGUGGGAAGGCCCAGACAGCCAGGAUGUUGGCUUAGAAGCAGCCAUCAUUUAAAGAAAGCGUAAUAGCUCACUGGUCGAGUCGGCCUGCGCGGAAGAUGUAACGGGGCUAAACCAUGCACCGAAGCUGCGGCAGCGAACGUAUCACUUAAAGCGAUUCAGCGGGUUACGAUUGACGGAGCGAAGCGACGUCAAAGCGUAUACAAAGUCGAGUCGGUUUAAGGAUACGUUCGUUGGGUAGGGGAGCGUUCUGUAAGCCCGUGAAGGUGGCCUGUGAGGGUUGCUGGAGGUAUCAGAAGUGCGAAUGCUGACAUAAGUAACGAUAAAGCGGGUGAAAAGCCCGCUCGCCGGAAGACCAAGGGUUCCUGUCCAACGUUAAUCGGGGCAGGGUGAGUCGACCCCUAAGGCGAGGCCGAAAGGCGUAGUCGAUGGGAAACGGGUUAAUAUUCCCGUACUUGGUGUUACUGCGAAGGGGGGACGGAGAAGGCUAUGUUGGCCGGGCGACGGUUGUCCCGGUUUAAGCGUGUAGGUGUGUGUUCCAGGUAAAUCCGGUUCACUUUAACACUGAGGCGUGACGACGAGGCACUACGGUGCUGAAGCAACAAAUGCCCUGCUUCCAGGAAAAGCCUCUAAGCAUCAGGUAACACGAAAUCGUACCCCAAACCGACACAGGUGGUCAGGUAGAGAAUACCAAGGCGCUUGAGAGAACUCGGGUGAAGGAACUAGGCAAAAUGGUGCCGUAACUUCGGGAGAAGGCACGCUGACACGUAGGUGAAGUGAUUUACUCAUGGAGCUGAAGUCAGUCGAAGAUACCAGCUGGCUGCAACUGUUUAUUAAAAACACAGCACUGUGCAAACACGAAAGUGGACGUAUACGGUGUGACGCCUGCCCGGUGCCGGAAGGUUAAUUGAUGGGGUCAGCGCAAGCGAAGCUCCUGAUCGAAGCCCCGGUAAACGGCGGCCGUAACUAUAACGGUCCUAAGGUAGCGAAAUUCCUUGUCGGGUAAGUUCCGACCUGCACGAAUGGCGUAAUGAUGGCCAGGCUGUCUCCACCCGAGACUCAGUGAAAUUGAACUCGCUGUGAAGAUGCAGUGUACCCGCGGCAAGACGGAAAGACCCCGUGAACCUUUACUAUAGCUUGACACUGAACAUUGAGCCUUGAUGUGUAGGAUAGGUGGGAGGCUUUGAAGUGUGGACGCCAGUCUGCAUGGAGCCGACCUUGAAAUACCACCCUUUAAUGUUUGAUGUUCUAACGUGGACCCGUAAUCCGGGUUGCGGACAGUGUCUGGUGGGUAGUUUGACUGGGGCGGUCUCCUCCUAAAGAGUAACGGAGGAGCACGAAGGUUGGCUAAUCCUGGUCGGACAUCAGGAGGUUAGUGCAAUGGCAUAAGCCAGCUUGACUGCGAGCGUGACGGCGCGAGCAGGUGCGAAAGCAGGUCAUAGUGAUCCGGUGGUUCUGAAUGGAAGGGCCAUCGCUCAACGGAUAAAAGGUACUCCGGGGAUAACAGGCUGAUACCGCCCAAGAGUUCAUAUCGACGGCGGUGUUUGGCACCUCGAUGUCGGCUCAUCACAUCCUGGGGCUGAAGUAGGUCCCAAGGGUAUGGCUGUUCGCCAUUUAAAGUGGUACGCGAGCUGGGUUUAGAACGUCGUGAGACAGUUCGGUCCCUAUCUGCCGUGGGCGCUGGAGAACUGAGGGGGGCUGCUCCUAGUACGAGAGGACCGGAGUGGACGCAUCACUGGUGUUCGGGUUGUCAUGCCAAUGGCACUGCCCGGUAGCUAAAUGCGGAAGAGAUAAGUGCUGAAAGCAUCUAAGCACGAAACUUGCCCCGAGAUGAGUUCUCCCUGAGACUUAGAGUCUCCUGAAGGAACGUUGAAGACGACGACGUUGAUAGGCCGGGUGUGUAAGCGCAGCGAUGCGUUGAGCUAACCGGUACUAAUGAACCGUGAGGCUUAACCUU
rnacentral:rRNA from 4 species